rnacentral:rRNA from 1 species
CACGUAGGGUGCGAGCGUUGUCCGGAAUUAUUGGGCGUAAAGAGCUCGUAGGCGGUUUGUCGCGUCUGCUGUGAAAUCCCGAGGCUCAACCUCGGGCCUGCAGUGGGUACGGGCAGACUGGAGUGCGGUAGGGGAGAAUGGAAUUCCUGGUGUAGCGGUGAAAUGCGCAGAUAUCAGGAGGAACACCGGUGGCGAAGGCGGUGAUCUGGGCCAGUACUGACGCUGAGGAGCGAAAGCGUGGGUAGCAAACAGG